UUCCCUCAUCUCCAUGACCCACCCCAAAAAAAUUUCCUAGACCCUAAAAUUCCCAUCUCCAUGAUUGCCUUUCGAUUUGUGCAAUUCUGCAUCUUCGAUUUAGUAUCCAGAAGUUGUUAGUGAACGAGUAGAAAACCUUUCAUUUGGGGUUCGGAAAGCACUAGUGCACAUUUGCAAUGCAAGUUUUGUCGGAAAUUUUCAACGGUGAGUUCGUUCUGAGCUAGCUCUAAUCAUCUUCUUCUGCUCUGCUUGAUCCAUUUCUCUCGCAAUGUUAAGUUAUCAAUGGACCAAAAGACUGCAAAUUCCCUUACGAAACUUGAAUACUCAUUUCGGAUGUUUGAUAUCCGUGGAAUCUCUUAUUAUCACCAAAUCGUUUUCGUCAAGUAAUAAGGAGAAUACAAUAGCAGGCCAGGAAGAGAAACAACUGCCAUUUACUUUGUCUUACCUCAUAAACUCAUGUGGGUUUUCCUUAGAGAGUGCGAAAUCCUUGUCCAAGCAUGUCAAAUUUGAAAACCCUAAGCGACCAGAUUCUGUUAAUGAAGUUCUCAGAGACCACGGAUUCACCAAUGCCCAAAUCUCCAAACUCAUCAAGAUAAGACCAAAGCUUCUUUUGGCCGACAAGGAGAAGACCCUUUUACCCAAAUUUGAGUUUCUUCAGUCUGUGGGGAUUUCAGGAGCUGCUCUUGCAGACAUGGUAUGUUCAAGCCGGACCAUCUUGCGCCAUAGCCUAAAGAAUCGAAUCGUCCCUUAUUAUAAUUUCUUAAAGAACUUGCUCAAAGAUGAUAAGAAGGCUGCACUUAUGCUAAAGCGUGCAGCUUGCGUCAGAGAUUUUCAUAAUACUGCUGCUUCCUGUAUCUCACUCUUACAACGUCAUGGAGUACCACAUUUGUCUAUAUUACGACUCCUUAGACAUGAUGUUGCUGUGCUGUUCUUCAAGGCUGAGAAGUUUGAUGAAUUUGUCAAGAUGCUUAGUGGAAUGGGCUUUGACCCUUUGGAUAAGAAUUUUAUCCUUGCACUUAGGGUAGUUUCUGGAUUGAGUGGUGAAUCAUGGGAACGCAAAAUGAAAGCCUUCAAGGAGUGGGGUUUGUCCAAAGAUGAGAUCUUGUUAGCUUUUAGACGGUUUCCCCCUUUUAUGGCUUUGUCUGAGGAGAAUAUCUCAAGAAAAAUAGAAUUUCUUGUGACCAAAAUGGGUUGGGAUCCAGCAGCUGUUGUCAAAGUACCAUGUGUUCUAGUUCAUAGUAUGGAGAAAAGGAUCAUCCCCAGGUGUUCAGUAAUUCAGGCUUUGCUUUUCAAAGGGUUAAUCAAGGAAAAACCCCCAUUAUCAAGUUUUUUAAUUCCCAUUGACAAGCUCUUUCUGGAGAGGUUUGUGAAUAGAUACCAAGAGCAGGAGCCCCAACUGUUGGAUAUAUUUAAAGAGAAAAUGAAAGUCUCUGAUUUGGGAAUUGGAUUUGAAGGAUUAUAUGAAUUGACACCAUUGUAGCAUGAGGAAUAUCAAUUUCAUCACAUCAUCCCUGCUCUUCUAUGUGUAGUUCUGUUUGUGCAUUUUGACUAUCUACUCUGUUCAGACAUCUAGCUUUCAAACUAGUUAAUGUCGUAAUUUUGGAGACAUAGAUGAAGCUAAUAAGGACCGAGUUGCUGGUGAUGGCAUGGCUUCACUUUCGCCUGUUACUUGCUUUAAGCUUUCUGGAAAUAUAAUUGCAACUUAUCCGGUUGCAAUUACAUAUCUUACCAGUUACAAGUUAUCGAUCAUGCUCAUAGGUGCUGCUUCUUUGAAUUUUUUGUUUGGUUGCAGGUUGACAAAGCCCUUCUCAUGCAACAAGCACUUUGGAGGGAGCUCUUGUAAAUGCUUCAAUAGCUUCCUUCUUUGAGAGAACCUACUUAUUCAUUUACUGUUAGCUUCAAGUCCAAAAUUUUCCUUGAAUCAAAUAUUAGAAAAAUGGGUUGACAAAUCCAUUUUCAUGUCAACAAGCACAUUGGAGGGGCUUUUGAAAAUGCUUCAACAACUUCCCAGUCUGGAGAUACCCUUUUUGUACGCCUUGUUCAUUUACUGUUUGCUUUAAGCUCAGAUUUUUCUUUCAAGCGAAGAGGGGGGAAAAUCCGAGUAAAAUGCUGUGUAAGAACUUUAUUCAUUGAAUCUGUGGAGAGGUAUAAAUUAUUCAGUUAAUAAGUUAUUAAAGUAUCUGGAUUCCUUUCUAUCCUCCCCUUUUUGUGUUUGUUUUCUUGUAUAU